CUACGGAGGGGGCUAGCGUUGUUCGGAAUUACUGGGCGUAAAGCGUACGUAGGCGGACUGAUCAGUUGGGGGUGAAAUCCCAGGGCUUAACCCUGGAACUGCCUUCAAUACUGUCAGUCUUGAGUUUGGGAGAGGUGAGUGGAAUUCCUAGUGUAGAGGUGAAAUUCAUAGAUAUUAGGAGGAACACCAGUGGCGAAGGCGGCUCACUGGCCCAUUACUGACGCUGAGGUACGAAAGCGUGGGGAGCAAACAGGAUUAGAAACCCGAGUAGUCC
rnacentral:rRNA from 1 species